rnacentral:rRNA from 1 species
GCGGCGGACGGGUGAGUAACACGUGGGUCAACCUGCCCUGCAGAUCGGGAUAAUUCCGGGAAACCGGUGCUAAUACCGAAUAGUUUGCGGCCUCGGAUGAGGCUGCACGGAAAGACGGUUUCUGCUGUCACUGCAGGAUGGGCCCCCCCCCCAUUAUCUAGUUGGUGAGGUAACGGCUCACCAAGGCCACGAUGCGUAGCCGACCUGAGAGGGUGAUCGG